GGCCUGUUAGCUCAGUUGGUUAGAGCGCCGUGCUAAUAACGCGGAGUCACGAGUUCUAUCCUCUUACGGGCCA
rnacentral:tRNA from 1 species